rnacentral:rRNA from 1 species
AGUGAACGCUGGCGGUAGGCCUAACACAUGCAAGUCGAACGGCAGCACAGUAAGAGCUUGCUCUUACGGGUGGCGAGUGGCGGACGGGUGAGGAAUACAUCGGAAUCUACUUUUUCGUGGGGGAUAACGGAGGGAAACUUACGCUAAUACCGCAUAUGACCUACGGGUGAAAGCAGGGGAUCUUCAGGCCUUGCGCGAUUGAAUGAGCCGAUGUCGGAUUAGCUAGUUGGCGGGGUAAAGGCCCACCAAGGCGACGAUGCGUAGCUGGUCUGAGAGGAUGAUCAGCCACACUGGAACUGAGACACGGUCCAGACUCCUACGGGAGGCAGCAGUGGGGAAUAUUGGGCAAUGGGCGCAAGCCUGAUCCAGCCAUACCGCGUGAGUGAAGAAGGUCUUCGGGUUGUAAAGCCCUUUUGUUAGGAAAGAAAAGCAGUGUGUGAAUCCCCCGCUGUUCUGACGGUACCCAAAGAAUAAGCACCGGCUAACUUCGUG